UCCAAGGCCUUUUUAAAGGCCACCAAUGACGAGCAGCCUAUGACAU
rfam:Echinostoma caproni strain Egypt genome assembly, scaffold: ECPE_scaffold0021827